AUGGAGGGCAUCUACUUCCAGUUGCUCCUUGUCUCGCUGGUGGCCCUGGCGCUCCAACAGCUGCUGAAGCUGGCCAAGAAGCCUAGCAGGAGGAUGCCGCCGGGACCGUGGAAGCUGCCGGUCAUCGGCAGCUUGCACCACCUCAUGAACGUGCUGCCGCACCGCGCGCUGCGGGACCUGGCCAACGUUCACGGUCCCCUCAUGAUGCUGCAGCUCGGCGAGACGCCGCUCGUCGUGGCGUCCUCCAAGGAGAUGGCACGGGAGGUGCUAAAGACGCACGACAGCAACUUGGGCAGCCGGCCCAAGCCACUCGUCGGCGAGAUCGUUGGCUACAAUUCUAACAACCUCAUCUAUAGUCCCUCUGGCGACUCCUGUACCAGGACCCGGAAGCUCUAGACCACGGAGCUCCUCUGCACCGGGCGCGUGCUCUCCUUCCGCCACGUCAGGGAGGAGGAGGUGUGCUCGCAGGUGAUGGUGCGAGUGGAGCAGAUCCGCAAGGCGGGGCCGUCAACGCCGGUUAACCUGAGCCUGAUAUUGCACGAGCUGACCACCGCCAUGCUGUUGCGGGCAGCAUGGGGGAAGACGCGGAUCAAGAACAUGCCGGAACUCCUGGCUGGUGUGAGGACCGGCAUAGCCCUGUCCAGCGGCUUCAGUCUGCCGGACCUCUUCCAGACGUGGAAGCGCUCGGUGCUCGCCGGGGUCACGGGCAUGAAGCGAAGCCUCGAGAGCCUCCACAAGACGAUUGACUCCGUGUUUGAGGAGGUCAUCGAGGAGAGGAUGUGCGCGCGCGCUGAGAAUGUCAAGACUGGCGCAGAGAACGUCGAUGAGAACCUCGUGGACGUGCUCAUCGGCAUGCAGGAGAAAGGCGACUCCGUCUUCCCUAUCGACAAACCCAGAAUCAAGGCCUUCCUUCUGGACACGCUGGCGGCUGGGACGGGGACGUCCGGGUCGGCGAUGGAGUGGACCAUGUCGGAGCUGAUUCGGAAUCCAAAGGUUAUGGCGAAGCUCCAGGAGCAGGUCCGGGAGGCGUUCCGGGGGAAAGCAGUGGUGACGGAGGGGGACAUGCAGGCAGCCGACAUCCGGUACCUAAAGCUAGUGAUGAAGGAGGCGCUCCGGCUGCACCCGCCGGCCCCGCUGCUGGUCGGCCGGGAGAGCAUUGACGUGUGCGAGGUGGACGGGUACACGAUCCCAGCCAAGUCACGCGUCCUCGUCAACGUGUGGGCGAUCGGCCAGGACCCCAAGUACUGGGACGCCCCCGAGGAAUUCAAGCCGGAGCGGUUCGAGAAGGGCGACAUCGAUUUCAUGGGCAGCCACUACCAGUUCACCACGUUCGGCGCCGGCCGGAGGAUGUGCCCCGGCAUUAGCUACGGCCUCGCCAGCAUGGAGCUCGCCCUCGUCUCCCUCCUCUACCACUUCGACUGGUCGCUGCCGGAGGGCGUCAGCGAGCUUGACAUGGGGGAGGCACCGGGACUCGGUGUGCGCCGCCGGUCGCCACUGCUGCUCCGGGCCACCCCCGUCCUCCCGGCGGACUGCGCGGAAUAG
rnacentral:rRNA from 1 species